AUCUACAACCAUACCAACCUGAAUGCGCGACAUCUCGUCUGAUCUCGGAAGCUAAGCAGGUUCGGGCCUGUUUAGUACUUGGAUGGGAGACCGCCUGGGAAUACUGGGUGCUGUAGGUU
rnacentral:rRNA from 1 species